AAAGACAUUAUUAGGUACUUCGAUUGGGGCUUCUUGUUUAUGCGUUUUUAAAACAAUUUUGGAACGUUUUUUUUUUGCGAGCGGUAACGUGGUUUUUCUUAAUGCUUGUCGAUGAUUCUUUUCUAUUAACAUGCCUUGUAAAAAGAGACUUUUCUAGAAAAAUCAUUUUGUGGAGAAAAAUAUUCACGCUGUUCUUUUAAUUUUUCUCCAAGUUUGUUGAUUCAGAAGUUAACUUCUUUAUUAGAAAUUAACUUUUACUAUAAGGCGGAGACAUCGAUGAGUUUUUCUAUUCAUUGGCUGGUUUAAAAAAAUGAUAACAGUAAAAGUUAUUUUAAUACUGGCUGGAUUAUUUUCAUGUGUAAUAUUGUUUUAUGCCGUGCUGAUGUUAUACAAAUGUUUACGCAUUAAAAAACCUGAUCUGGAGAAUAAAGAAGAAAAUAAUAAAGAAAAAGUUAUUACUUUUUCAAAUAACUUCGAUAAACUAUAUUCGAUUCAAACAGUAGAGCCGCAAAUAGCAGUGGAAGAUAGUUUUGCGAAUGGGAGAUUCAUAAAGUACCCAUCGCCAUAUUUUUUCGAAAAAAUCGAAUCAUCGAUUUUAGGAUGUCGCAAAUCAAAAAGACGUAAUAGAGAAAAGUUUUUGUCUCGAAUAUAUAGAAAAAUUACGCGAAAUUAGUCUUGGUGAAAAUGGAUUUUCUUGGAAGAGACAUGUUUUAUUUAAUAUUUUAAUACUAAAAAUUUAUAGAUUCAAAAUUAAAGAUAAAAAAAUCAUUAUCUUAAA
rnacentral:misc_RNA from 1 species